AGGGAUGAUGAGCCUCCAUCCAAGCUGAGCAAGUGAUGAGUGCACAUCAGGCUGAAC
rnacentral:ncRNA from 14 species